rnacentral:rRNA from 1 species
GGGGGGCCCUACGGGGUGCACCAGGCGCGAAACCUCUGCAAUAGGCGAAAGCUUGACAGGGUUACUCUGAGUGAUUUCCGUUAAGGAGAUCUUUUGGCACCUCUAAAAAUGGUGCAGAAUAAGGGGUGGGCAAGUCUGGUGUCAGCCGCCGCGGUAAUACCAGCACCCCGAGUGGUCGGGACGUUUAUUGGGCCUAAAGCAUCCGUAGCCGGUUCUACAAGUCUUCCGUUAAAUCCACCUGCUUAACAGAUGGGCUGCGGAAGAUACUAUAGAGCUAGGAGGCGGGAGAGGCAAGCGGUACUCGAUGGGUAGGGGUAAAAUCCGUUGAUCCAUUGAAGACCACCAGUGGCGAAGGCGGCUUGCCAGAACGCGCUCGACGGUGAGGGAUGAAAGCUGGGGGAGCAAACCGGAUUAGAUACCCGGGUAGUCCCAGCUGUAAACGAUGCAGACUCGGUGAUGAGUUGGCUUAUUGCUAACUCAGUGCCGCAGGGAAGCCGUUAAGUUUGCCGC